rnacentral:rRNA from 1 species
UGGGGAAUCUUGGACAAUGGGGGAAACCCUGAUCUAGCCAUGCCGCGUGAGUGAUGAAGGCCCUAGGGUCGUAAAGCUCUUUCGCCAGGGAUGAUAAUGACAGUACCUGGCAAAGAAACCCCGGACUAACUCCGUGCCAGCAGCCGCGGUAAUACGGAUGGGGUUAGCGUUGUUCGUACUUACUGGGCGAAAAGCGCACGUAAUUAGAGUAGUUAGUCAGAGGUGAAAUCCCAGGGCUCAACCCUGGAACUGCCUUUGAUACUGCUAGUCUUGAGUUCGAGAGAGGUGAGUGGAAUUCCGAGGGUAGAGGUGAAAUUCGUAGAUAUUCGGAGGAACACCAUGUGGCGAAGGCGGCUCACUGGUUCGAUACUGACGCUGAUGUGCUGAAAGUGUGGUGAGCAAACAG